rnacentral:rRNA from 1 species
GAUGAACGCUGGCGGCGUGCCUAAUACAUGCAAGUCGAGCGAACGGACGAGAAGCUUGCUUCUCUGAUGUUAGCGGCGGACGGGUGAGUAACACGUGGAUAACCUACCUAUAAGACUGGGAUCACUUCGGGAAACCGUAGCUAAUACCGUAUAAUAUUUUGAACCGCAUGGUUCAAAAGUAAAAGACGGUCUUGCUGUCACUUAUAGAUGGAUCCGCGCUGCAUUAGCUGGUUGGUAAGGUAACGGCUUACCAAGGCAACGAUGCAUAGCCGACCUGAGAGGGUGAUCGGCCACACUGGAACUGAGACACGGUCCAGACUCCUACGGGAGGCAGCAGUAGGGAAUCUUCCGCAAAGGGCGAAAGCCUGACGGAGCAACGCCGCGUGAGUGAUGAAGGUCUUCGGAUCGUAAAACUCUGUUAUUAGGGAAGAACAUAUGUGUAAGUAACUGUGCACAUCUUGACGGUACCUAAUCAGAAAGCCACGGCUAACUACGUG